rnacentral:rRNA from 1 species
CACGUAGGGCGCAAGCGUUGUCCGGAAUUAUUGGGCGUAAAGAGCUCGUAGGCGGUCUGUUGCGUCCGCUGUGAAAACUCGGGGCUUAACCCCGAGCCUGCAGUGGAUACGGGCAGACUAGAGGUCGGUAGGGGAGUGUGGAAUUCCUGGUGGAGCGGUGAAAUGCGCAGAUAUCAGGAGGAACACCCGUAGCGAAGGCGGCACUCUGGGCCGAUUCUGACACUGAGGAGCGAAAGCGUGGGGAGCGAACAGG